AACGAACGCUGGCGGCAGGCUUAACACAUGCAAGUCGAACGGGCGCAGCAAUGCGUCAGUGGCAGACGGGUGAGUAACACGUGGGAACGUCCCCCUCGGUUCGGAAUAACUCAGGGAAACUUGAGCUAAUACCGGAUACGUCCGAGAGGAGAAAGAUUUAUCGCCGAGGGAUCGGCCCGCGUCUGAUUAGCUAGUUGGUGAGGUAAUGGCUCACCAAGGCGACGAUCAGUAGCUGGUCUGAGAGGAUGAUCAGCCACACUGGGACUGAGACACGGCCCAGACUCCUACGGGAGGCAGCAGUGGGGAAUAUUGGACAAUGGGCGCAAGCCUGAUCCAGCCAUGCCGCGUGAGUGAUGAAGGCCUUAGGGAUGUAAAGCUCUUUUGCCAGGGAAGAUAAUGACUGUACCUGGAGAAUAAGCCCCGGCUAACUUCGUGCCAGCCGCCGCGGUAAGAC
rnacentral:rRNA from 1 species